UACAGAGGUCUCAAGCGUUGUUCGGAUUCAUUGGGCGUAAAGGGUGUGUAGGUGGCGCCGUAAGUCGGGUGUGAAAUUUCGGAGCUUAACUCCGAAACUGCAUUCGAUACUGCCGUGCUUGAGGACUGGAGAGGAGACUGGAAUUUACGGUGUAGCAGUGAAAUGCGUAGAUAUCGUAAGGAAGACCAGUGGCGAAGGCGGGUCUCUGGACAGUUCCUGACACUGAGGCACGAAGGCCCAGGGGAGCAAACGGG
rnacentral:rRNA from 1 species